ensembl:lncRNA
CCCGCUCCCCGCAGCUCUGAAUCAGUGAGGUUGUCCCGGCCUGCCCUGCCAGGCCCAGGAAUCCCCCAGAAUUGUUCUGGCUCCCGGUGAACCAGAUGGUUCAGGGACUGAAGUCCUUCCAGGCCUACCGUGCCUGAGGCGCUGAGCCUGGGCGCUUUGCAUGGAGCCAACUCCAGGUCAUGUCACCACGGCUCUGGGAGGCCAGGGCGACCGCGGCCGUUGUUGCAGAAGGGGAAACUGAGGCACAGAGCAGCAAAUUCACCGGCCGAGUCCAGAUAGGAACCUGGCUCCUGGGCUCCUUGCCUGAACUCCAGAAUUUUUCCGACUUCCUACCAGCGUGUCUAAAGUCCAAUGGGCAUCUCCAAGCUGCUGCUGCUGCUGCUAAGUCGCUUUAGUCGUGUCCGACUCUGUGCGACCCCAUAGAUGGAAGCCCACCAGGCACCCCUGUCCCUGGGAUUCUCCAGGGUUCGGUCCAUAAGCAAGCCCAGCUGGCUUCAGUUCCCAAACGUGUCUGGGAUCCAGCUCCUUCCCGCCACCACCGUCCUCAGCUGGUCCAAGCCACCACCACCUCCACCCGCAGCAACAGAAAGGCCUCCGGACUGCCCUCCGGCGUCAGCUCCUGGCAUUCCCGGUCGCCGCCUGGCAGCCGGAGCGAUCUUUCCAAAGCAUAAGCUGGAUCGGGUCACUCGCUUCGUCUGACCUUCCCCUGAGACAGAAGAUGCAGGCACUUCCUGUUGUUCCCCAUGGGACACAGUUCCAUCCGCCCCUCCCACCUUAACCCACCUACUGUCUCCCCCUUCUCUGGGCUCCAGCCACUUUGGUUAUGUCUGUCGCUCAAGCACAUUAAGCUUAUUCCUGUCCCUGGGUCUUUGCACUUGCUUUGCCUGACUUGGAAUAAUCGUUCCUCCAGCUCCUUGCAAAGUUAUCACCUUACCAACUCGGUCACAGCCCAGCCUCCUCUGGUCUUCACUGACCACCAGCCAUAGCAGGGCCCCCAGUCACUCUCUGGACCUUCGUUUAAGACCUGACUCAUCAGAAAAGACCCUGAUGCUGGGAAAGAUUGAGGGCAGGAGGAGAAGGAAACGACAGAGGACAAGAUGGUUGGAUGGCAUCACCGACUCAGUGGACGUGAGUCUGAGUAAGCUCCUGGAUUUGGUGAUGGACAGGGAGGCCUGGCGUGCUGCCGUCCAUGGAGUCGCAAGGAGUCAGACAUGACUGAACAACUGAGCUGAACUGAACUGAAAAGGAGAGUAAAUGCCAGUGCCCUACCUAAGAGAGUGGGCAGAGAUGGUCAGGGAGGAGGGGGUACUGAAAUGCCAGGCUGAGGCAGGCACCGGGCCCCUGUGAGUCCUCCUCUCUCCCUGGCAUCCGCAGUGCCCAGGGGUCAGGGGACGGUUGAGGACCCUUUGCCGGGGGUUUGCCCCUUGGCUGGGGUCCUCUGCCCAUUUCACUCUGUGACUUCAACCUGGUGCCUGACCCUCUCUUGCUUACCUCCCCUCUGGUGCAAAAGCCGACUCCAGCCCUGAGUUUGUCUGGGGAUGGUCCCUCAGGAGUGGAGGGCUCAGGGCCAAAG